UCCCCAAUCACAUUCCCUGGAUAAGAGAACAAUAUAGACUUUCCCAUUUCUCCCUAUCUAUCCCAUUGCCCUUCCAUUCCUCCUCCAGCACAUAAUACAUUCGACAUUUUCAUUUUCAUUUUCCUCCUCCAAGCUAACUGCAAAUUAGCAAUGGCAGCCACAACCAUAGCAACAAUGGCGAUGCUAAAUGCCAAGUGCAUUUCAUCAUCCUCAUCAUCAUCUCCCAAACCCCAAUUGAUCAAUAACAAUCUUAAUUCCAAGUCCACUAAACUACCCAUCUGCCUCCAAAACCUCCCAAAACCCCUCACCGGCCUUCAAUUGACAACUUCAUCACUAGCUGGAACCGCCAUAGCCGGUGCAAUAUUUUCAACCCUGAG
rnacentral:lncRNA from 1 species